UACGUAGGUGGCAAGCGUUGUCCGGAUUUACUGGGCGUAAAGAGCGCGCAGGCGGUCGUUCAAGUCGCGUGUGAAAGCCCCCGGCUCAACUGGGGAGGGUCACGCGAUACUGAUCGACUCGAAGGCAGGAGAGGGAAGUGGAAUUCCCGGUGUAGUGGUGAAAUGCGUAGAUAUCGGGAGGAACACCAGUGGCGAAGGCGGGUAGCUGGGCCGACACUGACGCUGAGGCGCGAAAGCCAGGGGAGCGAACGGG
rnacentral:rRNA from 1 species